AUUGAACGCUAGCGGCAGGCCUAACACAUGCAAGUCGAGCGAGUGGCGGACGGGUGAGUAAUGUAUGGGAACCUGCCCGAUAGCGGGGGAUAACUACUGGAAACGGUGGCUAAUACCGCAUACUAUCGGAUGAACCCAUAUGGGAUUAGCUAGUAGGUGGGGUAAAGGCUCACCAAGGCGACUAUCCCUAGCUGGUCUGAGAGGAUGAUCAGCCACACUGUGACUGAGACACGGCCCAGACUCCUACGGGAGGCAGCAGUGGGGAAUAGUGCACAAUGGGCGCAAGCCUGAUGCAGCCAUGCCGCGUGUAUGAAGAAGGCCUUAGGGUUGUAAAGUACGUUCAGCGGGGAGGCGUUACCCGCAGAAGAAGCACCGGCUAACUCCGUGCCAGCCGCCGCGGUAAUAC
rnacentral:rRNA from 1 species